rnacentral:rRNA from 1 species
UGGGGAAUAUUGGACAAUGGGGGCAACCCUGAUCCAGCAAUGCCGCGUGUGUGAAGAAGGUCUUCGGAUUGUAAAGCACUUUCGACGGGGACGAUGAUGACGGUACCCGUAGAAGAAGCCCCGGCUAACUUCGUGCCAGCAGCCGCGGUAAUACGAAGGGGGCUAGCGUUGCUCGGAAUGACUGGGCGUAAAGGGCGUGUAGGCGGUUUGUACAGUCAGAUGUGAAAUCCCCGGGCUUAACCUGGGAGCUGCAUUUGAUACGUGCAGACUAGAGUGUGAGAGAGGGUUGUGGAAUUCCCAGUGUAGAGGUGAAAUUCGUAGAUAUUGGGAAGAACACCGGUGGCGAAGGCGGCAACCUGGCUCA